rnacentral:rRNA from 1 species
AGUGAACGCUGGCGGUAGGCCUAACACAUGCAAGUCGAACGGCAGCACAGUAAGAGCUUGCUCUUAUGGGUGGCGAGUGGCGGACGGGUGAGGAAUACAUCGGAAUCUACUUUUUCGUGGGGGAUAACGUAGGGAAACUUACGCUAAUACCGCAUACGACCUACGGGUGAAAGCAGGGGAUCUUCGGACCUUGCGCGAUUGAAUGAGCCGAUGUCGGAUUAGCUAGUUGGCGGGGUAAAGGCCCACCAAGGCGACGAUCCGUAGCUAGUCUGAGAGGAUGAUCAGCGACACUGGAACUGAGACACGGUCCAGACUCCUACGGGAGGCAGCAGUGGGGAAUAUUGGACAAUGGGCGCAAGCCUGAUCCAGCCAUACCGCGUGGGUGAAGAAGGCCUUCGGGUUGUAAAGCCCUUUUGUUGGGAAAGAAAAGCAGCAGGUUAAUACCCCGCUGUUCUGACGGUACCCAAAGAAUAAGCACCGGCUAACUUCGUG